rnacentral:lncRNA from 1 species
AAUAGGUUAUUAGAGUCCUAGUAGACUUUAGAUUUCUUAGAGAAGCCUAUAUAUAGGCUAAUUAAUGUAAAUCAAAUGGAUGGAUUGAUAUUAAUAAUAUUAUGUUUUCUUUCAUUGCAAGGUUGCAACCCUCAAUGGUGAGACUCCAUUGAUUUUCUUCUAGGUGAGACUCCUAGAAGGCCUUCAUGAGACUCUAAGGCUUUUGAUCUUUUCUUCGUUGUUUUUUUCUUUCUCUCUAUUUCUUAUAUUAUAUUUUUCUCUACCAUAAAAUUUAUUCAUUGUUCCUCUCCUUACACCCUAAAAAUAAAACCCUAGUCCACCUACCCUUGAGAGUAGGCAACCAUCCUAGGGUUGUCCUACAUCAAUUUUGGUAUCAGAGUCAAAGUUCUUGGCUUGAAGGCAUAUGCAAUUAAGGAGCCGAGCAACUUAUGCAAGCAUGAGUUCCAAAAAAACUUUUAGCAAUCAAGAUGCCGCUACAAUACGCUUGGAGGAAAUUUCAGCCACACAACAGUCCCAUCAAGAUGCUAUAAUACAACUAAAUAGCAAACUUGACGAGAUCAUGAAGUUAUUAGAAAAAAGUCAAGAAAAACGACCAAUUGAAGAAGAGAUUGCAAGUCAUCAAUUUAUACAAUCGCCAAGUCGAUCACGCGAAGAACAAAACAAUUUUAUGAUGGGGAAUCAAAGAAGGGCCAAACUUUUUGAGCUAAAUGAUGAUGUGACAAAAAAGGUACAUCUUGAAGUUGCUGAAUUUUAUGGAAAACUAAAUCCAACAGCUUUUCUUGAUUGGAUUAUGUCAAUGGAAGAUUACUUUGAUUGGUAUGCAAUGCCCGAAAAUAGAAAAGUUUGUUUUGUGAAGGCAAAGUUAAAAGGAGCAGCAUGUCUAUGGUAGCAUAAUAUUGAAAAUCAAGUUCAUAGAAUUGGCCAACCACCUAUUGACACCUGGGACGAGAUGAAGUUGAAGAUGAAAGUGCACUUUCUCCCAAUUGAUUAUGAACAACUUAUGUAUACAAAAUUGUUUUUCCUUAAACAAGGUACCAAGUCCGUUGAAGAAUAUACAAAACAAUUCCAUGAAUUGAGCAUUUGAAAUCAAGUACGGGAAAAUGAUGCUCAACUUGCAGCACGCUACAAAGUUGGACUUCGAAUGGAGAUUCAACUUGAGAUGAUAGUUGCACACACUUAUACCGUAGAUGAUGUUUAUCAACUAGCCCUCAAAUUUCGGGUUUCCAAGCAUCCAAGUUCACGAAUUGGGAGCACUUUCUCCAACAGGAAAGCAAGCAAAACUUUAAGCACAUCAAGCUUUAGAACUUCUAAUCACACGAAUGGUGGGGGCAACACUCAACGGACUUCGAAUGUGGCUCACAAGAAUGGUAAUAAGGGUAAAACUUCCAUGAGUAUUAGAGAUAGAAAAGUAAACGUGACUCCUUUAUGCUUUAAGUGUGGUGGGCAUGGUCAUUAUGUUGUUGUGUGCCCAACCAAAGGUUUACACUUUUGUGUUGAAGAACCAGAAUCUGAAUUGGAGAGUUACCCAAAGGAAGAAUAGACCUACAAUAAAGAUGAAGUUAGUGAAAAAUGUGACUACUAUGAUGGUAUGAUGGAAGGACAUAGUCUUAUAGUAUGACCUUUAUUAGUUGUCCCAAAGGUAAAAAGAGAAGAAGAUUAGCGAUGUACUAGCAUUUUCCAGACACGUAUUUCUUACCAAGGGAGAUUAUAUACCAUGAUCAUUGAUGGAGGUAGCAGUUUGAACAUAGCUUUGCAAGAACUUGUUGAGAAGCUAAACCUUAAAACAGAGAGACAUCUAAUCCAUUCAAAGUAGCAUGGGUUAAUGACACCUCUAUCUCGGUAAGUUUUCGUUACUUGGUAACAUUCCUUUUUGGUAAGGACUUUGAAGAGUCUGUAUGGUGUGAGGUCUUACCCAUAAAAGUAAGUCGUAUUUUACUUGGAAGACCUUGGCUUUUUGAUAGAAGAGUUCAACAUAACGGCUAUGAAAACACAUAUGCUCUCAUACACAACGAACGUAAGAAGAUCCUUCGUCCAAUGAAAGAAGUCCCUCCAAUUAAGAAGUCAGAGGAGACACAACCAAAAAAGGUAUUUACUAUGUGUCAAUUUGAAAAGGAGAGCAAGGAAACUAAAGUUAUUUUUGCUUUAAUGGCUUGGGAAGUGGAAGAAUUUAAAGAGCAAGAUAAGGAAUAUCCAAUAAACGUACGUAAAAUCCUUGAUGACUUUUCUAACUUGUGGUCUACAGAGUUACCUAAUCAACUUCCUCCUAUGCGUGACGUACAACAUGCCAUUGAUAUGAUUCCCGGUGCAUCAUUACCAAAUUUACCAGCCUACAGAACGAAUCCAACAGAACAUGUUGAAUUGAAAAGGCAAGUUGAUGAAUUACUUACUAAAGGUUUUAUUCGUGAAAGCCUAAGUCCUUGUGGAGUUCCUGCCCUAUUAACACCAAAUAAGGAUGGGUCAUGACGGAUGUAUGUGGAUAGUCGUGCAAUUAACAAAAUCACAAUCAAGUAUCGAUUUCCAAUUCCAAGACUUGAUGACGUGCUAGAUAUAAUGGUUGGAUCAAUAAUCUUUUCAAAGAUUGAUCUAAGAAGUGGAUAUCAUCAAAUACGUAUUAGACCAGGGGAUGAAUGGAAGACAUCUUUCAAAACUAAGGAGGGAUUGUAUGAGUGGUUAGUCAUGUUGUUUAGACCAACCAAUGCUCCAAGUACCUUCAUACGGGAUAUGAUGCAAGUAUUGAAACCUUUUAUUGGACGGUUUGUUGUUGUUUAUUUUGAUGAUAUUCUAAUCUAUAGUCGAUCUUGUAAAGAUCAUGAGGAAAACUUGAAGCAAGUAAUGCGCACUCUCAGGGCUGAAAAAUUUUACAUUAAUUAAAAAAAUGUACUUUCAUGAGCCCUAGUGUUGUAUUUCUAGGCUUUGUUGUGUCUUCUAAGGGUAUUGAAACAGAUCCAAAGAAGAUCAAAGCUAUUGUUGAUUGGCCAGUACCAACAAAUAUCCAUGAGGUGCGAAGCUUCCAUGGAAUGACUACAUUCUAUCAACGAUUUAUUUGAAAUUUCAGCUCUAUUAUGGCCCCGAUUACUAAAUGCAUGAAACCUAGUUUAUUUAUUUGGACCAAGGCGGCCAACAAGACAUUUAAAGAAAUCAAAUCCAAGAUGGUGAACCCUCCUAUCCUAUGUCUCUACCGAACUUUGAGAAAGCAUUUGAGGUGGCAUGUGAUGCUUCCCAUGUGGGAAUUGGAGCAGUUCUUAGACAAGAGGGACAUCUUGUGGCUUUCUUUAGUGAGAAGCUCAAUGGGGCAAAGAAAAAAAUACUUCACAUAUGAUCUUGAAUUCUAUGCGAUGGUGCAAGCAAUUAGACAUUGGAAACAUUAUCUCAAUUACAAGGAAUUUGUUUUGUAUUCGGAUCAUGAAGCCUUGCAAUAUCUUAAUUCUCAAAAGAAGUUUAACUCUCGACAAGCAAAAUGGAGUAGUUUUCUUCAGCUAUUUACCUUCAAUUUAAAGCAUUGUGCAGGAAUUGAAAAUAAAAUAAUUGAUGCCCUUAGUAGGAAGGCUCUUUUCUUAGUAAACAUGUCAGCCACUACAAUUGGAUUUGAAGAAUUAAAGCAUUGUUAUGACAAUGAUGCUGAUUUUGGAGAUGUUUAUUCCUCUCUUUUGAGUGGUUCAAAAGCAACAUGUAUUGAUUUCCAGAUUUUAGAAGGGUACUUGUUUUAUAAAAAUCGUUUAUGGUUACCAAGGACUUCCCUAUGUGAUCAUGUCAUAUGGGAAUUUCAUGGAGGUGGAAUGGGUGAACAUUUUGGACGAGAUAAGACCAUUUAUUUGGUGGAAGAUCACUUCUUUUGGCCUAGUUUAAAGAAGGAUGUUUGGAAGGUUAUCAAACAAUGUCGAGCAUGUCAAGUAGGAAAAGGUUCAAAGCAAAAUAUAGGGUUAUAUACACCAUUACCAAUUCCAUCCAAACCUUGGGAAGACUUGAGCAUGGAUUUUGUACUUGGAUUACCAAGGACACAAUGGGACUUUGAUUCUAUAUUUGUUGUGGUUGACAAAUUUCCCAAAAUGGCACAUUUUAUCCCAUGUAAGAAGACUUCGAAUGCUUCUCAUGUUGCUGCUACCUUGUUCUUUAAAGAAGUAGUUUGAUUGCAUGGAUUACCACAAUCCAUUGUUUAUGAUCGCAAUGUCAAGUUUAUGAGAUAUUUUUGGAAAACCUUGUGGGCCAAGCUAGGUACUCAAUUAAAAUUUUCAAGUUCUUUUCAUCCUCAAACUGAUGGACAAACAGAAGUUGUCAAUCGCAACCUUGGUAAUCUUUUGAGAUGCAUUGUGAGAGAUCAAUUGAGAAAUUGGGACAAUGUCUUACCACAAGCCGAGUUUGCUUUCAACAGCUCCACUAAUCAUACUACUAGGUACUCACCUUUUGAAGUGGCAUAUGGGCUGAAACCUAAGCAACCUAUUGAUCUUAUAUCAUUACCUACCUAUGUCCGCACCAACCAAGAUGGUGAUGCAUUUGCACGUCAUAUACGAGAUAUACAUGAAAAGGUACAAGAAAAAAUCAAACUCAGCAAUGAGAACUAUAAAGAGGCAGCAAGUGCACAUCGAAGAUAUAUUCAAUUUCAAGAAGGUGAUCUAGUGAUGGUUUGUCUACGUCCAGAAAGAUUUCAUCCGAGCACAUAUCAAAAGCUUCAAGCUAAGAAAACGGGUCCAUUUCGAGUACUAAAGCGGUUGGGUAAGAAUGUUUAUUUGUUAAAGCUCCCUUUAGACUUGCAUAUUAGUCCAAUAUUUAAUGUGGAAGAUAUGUGUAUCUACCAUGGCCAUCACAACGAUGUAAGUGAAGAGUUGGAUCUUCAAUUACCACCUACUCUUAGCCCACGUCCUAAGAUCGAGUAUGUUCUUGAUGAUCAACUUGUGUCUACUCAACAAGGUGGAUACCAAAAGUUUUUGGUGAAAUAGCAAGGCAAACCACACUCUGAAAACACAUGGAUUAUGACAAUGGAUUUUCAGAAGCUUAACCCCGAUCUCAAUGAAUUGUAUCAAUCAUCUAACUCGUCAGAGUUGAGUUCUUUCAAGUUGGGGGGAAUUGAUGGGGGAAAGCCUUUUAAAGUUUAUUCAAGGAAGAAAUGGAAGACCUAAAUAAACUUUAAGUAGGAUUAAUAUUAAAUAGAAUUGAAUUAAGAUUGAUAUUUGUUGGAGUCUAAUUAGGAUUACCUAGUUGAGUUAUAAUUUAGAAUUUGAAUCAUGAUAGGUUAUUAGAGUCCUAGUAGACUUUGGAUGUUAUAAUUAGAAUUAGAAUCAUAAUAGGUUAUUAGAGUCUUAAUAGACUUUGGAUUUCUUAGAGAAACCUAUAAAUAGGCUAAUCAAUGUAAAUCAAAGGGAUGAAUUGAUAUUAAUAAUAUCAUAUUUUCUUUCAUUGCAAGGUUGCAACCUUCAAUGGCGAGACUCCAUUGAUUUUCUUAUAGGUGAGACUCCAUUGAUUUUCUUCUAAGUGAGACUCCUAGAAGGCCUUAGUGAGACUCUAAGGUUUUCGAUCUUUUCUUCGUUGUUUUUUUCUCUCUCUAUUUCUUAUAUUAUAUUUUUCUCUACCAUAAAAUUUAUUCCUUGUUCCUCUCCUUACACCCUAAAAAUAAAACCCUAGCCCACCUACCCUUGAGCAUGGGCAACCAUCCUAGGGUUGUCCUACAUCAACCAUCCCCCCUUUUCCUCAGAUACCAUAGUCAUGAAUUCCACACACUUGCUCACUUUUCUUUAAUAAAUUGCAUUAGGGUGCAUAUAUGAUGCUUUCUUUUAUAAGAGAAUUGCAUCAAAAGUUGCAAAAUCAGAGCAUUCGCAAAGUAUGCAAUAAAGCUCCAAAAGAAAAAGAGAGAGAAACAACUAUAGGAUAGAAAUCAAACGACAGCACAAAACACCUCAUUUAGAAACACAUGGUAUCCCCUAAUCAUCUUGUCAAUAAAAACCAAAAUUGUUCCAUUAGGCUGUGUUAGAAGUUGAUAUCCCCACAAGUGUGUUUCUUUGAGUUUCCACUGAAAUUUGACACCCUCAAAAUUCACAAAACAUCCUCAAUCCACAAAACUUGCAUGGAUUAAAAAAUGGUAUAGAUUUUUUUAUUUAUUUUUCCUUUCCUUCUUUAACAGAAUCACAGUUAAGAAUGAAUUAAAGUUGUUGACCUUCCACCACUUGAAACAUUAUCAUAAUGUUAACUCAUCCAAGCUAAUAGGCAAGGCAUGGUCCAAACUCCAGGCUGAAAGUUUAGACUCACCUAGGAGUCUCAACAACAAUAAGCCUAAAAGUCCUUAUUGCACAGUUUGUAUACAGCAGAGGAAGUUGCACAAAGAAUUCCCAGAUCAAUUUCAUCCUAGCUGUCAAAGUGGAGAGAGAGCAGUGCGCAAAUGAAAAAUGAGAAAGUGAAUGAAAUACUCCACUUAAACAAAAGGAGGCAGUGUGCUACUGUAGUAAGCCACUAGACCAAAGCAUUCUGUUUAUUCUAUAUUAAAGAAGCAUAUAACAUCAGAGUUUAAUGCUCAUCAAAAACUUAAUACCCUAUGCAUGAAAUCAAUUAACUACUCUCAUAUAAACAUAUCGAUGUUGUUGAAUCUAAUUGAAAAUACCAGUUGAUUAACUUCCUAAUUUUUUAG